rnacentral:tRNA from 1 species
UUUGAUAAAGUUCUGUUGAAUAUGUGAAUUACAAUCACGAGGCUCUUUAUUUAGAUAUCAAAA